GAUGAACGCUAGCGGGAGGCCUAACACAUGCAAGCCGAGCGGUAUUUGUUCUUCGGAACAGAGAGAGCGGUGCACGGGUGCGGAACACGUGUGCAACCUGCCUUUAUCUGGGGGAUAGCCUUUCGAAAGGAAGAUUAAUACCCCAUAAUAUAUUGAGUGGCAUCACUUGAUAUUGAAAACUCCGGUGGACAGAGAUGGGCACGCGCAAGAUUAGAUAGUUGGUGAGGUAACGGCUCACCAAGUCAAUGAUCUUUAGGGGGCCUGAGAGGGUGAUCCCCCACACUGGUACUGAGACACGGACCAGACUCCUACGGGAGGCAGCAGUGAGGAAGAUUGGACAAUGGGUUAGCGCCUGAUCCAGCCAUCCCGCGUGAAGGACGACGGCCCUAUGGGUUGUAAACUUCUUUUGUAUAGGGAUAAACCUACUCUCGUGAGAGUAGCUGAAGGUACUAUACGAAUAAGCACCGGCUAACUCCGUG
rnacentral:rRNA from 1 species